rnacentral:snRNA from 1 species
GCUUCAGCAGUGCACACACUAAAAUAUGAAGGAUAUGGAGAAGUUUAUGAUAGCCCUUGUGAAAGGAUGACAUCCAAACUCUCGAACCUUCCAUGUUUCC